GUCCCUGAUGUUUCCAGGACAAUAUUAAAAGUUGUCCUUUGUAUUUUUCUCCUCAAAAUAAAGGUUAAAACACUGAAGAUAGUUGCCAUUCUUACUUAUACUGGAAAAUAAUUUAUUUAUUUUGGCAACUCUUCACAUCAGUCCAGCCUUUCUUUUUUCAUGGCCCUGACCUUUCUUCUUCACAUGCCAGAUUUGGUCUGUGUUGCACCCCAAAGCCAACCGGACAUUGCAGCAGAAAAUUCAAUCCCUGUGGUCAGUGUUUUCACAUUCUUUAGUACAUGAAGUGUAUGACCUGAAAAGUUUAUUGGAAAGGAAAUGUCUUUAGAAAUACAUGUGCUCUGUUUUCCUGAAGAGCAAAAGGAAAAAAAAACCCCAAAACUCCAGACUGAAAAUGAACUAUAUAUGGAUUGUACUGUUGCUUUAACACUUUUUUUUUGUCUACGAAAGUGCAGAAUUUAGAAAAUGAAGAAUUUCAGUUUGAUUCAGACUUGCAGUGGUUGAUGCAUUUCCCAGGGAAUCCUUGUUCUUUGUCCUUGCAGCUGAUGUGUUUUGGUUCUUUUCCCAUGUGAAGACAUUUUUAUAAGCAUAUGGGAACUUCACUUUAACUCAGAAUUAAAAUAUCAUAUUUUACAAGUGUAAGUCUAAUUAGCAGAUACCUCAUUGUUGCUCCUUUAAUGUUAAAGGAAGAGAAUCCAAUACAUUUGAUAAACUUUGGGUUUGCUGUUGAGUGGGUGAGCAUAAGCUAAAGGUCUGAUGUCAGCCUUUGAAAGAGAAAUUGGGUGAAUUUUCUGGGCUCUUGAAGUGAUUCUUACUUCAGUGCUUUAUAUUCCAAGGAAUUCCAAGCAGUGUCUCUCAUAUCUCUUUCUUAAAAACAUCUGCAGACAGGCAAUGGCCACAUUAAGUACUGCAGUGGGUAUGUUCAUAUCUCAUGUGUCUGUAAAUACCCUACUGAGCAGAUCAGAGAGAGCAGAAAUGGCUUAGUGAAAAAAAAAAAUAAUGCCUGAAAUGUUGUGGCUUUUGGAAUUGGCAGGGAAUUGCUGUGUAUCUAAUUUUUCAUCUCCCAGCUAUCCCUUACGUAAAGUGUUUUUAUUCUGUGAUCGGCUGAUGCAUUUAACCCAGCCCAGAAAUUGUUUUUGAGUCAAAGUACUUCUGCCGAGGUCCCCCCUGCACAGAUGAGUGGUGAAAUAAGGUGAGAUGAGGUUAAAAGGUAGAAGUGAAGUUAGGGAAGCCAGAAGAUGCCAGAAAAUGGUUCAGCUGUGAAACUCAGCAUGGUCCAUCAGCCUCUGAAUGUUCUGAAGGUGGAGAAGGGCUUCAGUGCUGAACUCAGGCUUUAAUGACUUUAUACAACUUGGUAAUUGUGUGAUAUAACCAAGUUCCAUGGUGUAACCACUCUCAGAUUUAAAUCUCUGCAUCUUUUCCCAGAGAUCCCUUCAUUCAUUCAAUAAUCCAACAUUAAAUUUGCCUCUGGAGAAGCCCAGGGUGUAGGAAUAAGUGUCUGGCUCUUCAUAAGAUUGACUUUUGCAUAUUGGGCAAUAAUUAACUAAAAAUAGUAUGCUAUGUGUACAGCUCAUGUGCCAUAAUGGGAACACCUACAUCUUUUAUUCCUUCUUUCCAAGAAUUUUAGGGAAUUUAAUGUUAAUAGAUUUCUUUCAAGACGUAUUAAUUAAUGUGUCUGUGCUCAUUUAUCGAGCUCUAUGUGAGACAGCUGGGCAGUCCGACACUGGCCUGCAACCCCUGGAUCCGCUGAGGGUAAUGGAAUCAGCUCCAAUAGUUGUGCUGUCACCAGCCCUAGAAGGAGAUUUUGGCAAACAGAAGAAACAUGUAAAUAGGUGCUUUUCUGUUGUUGUGUUCUUUAGUUUAAAAUUAAAUACCUCCUUGGAGUUCCAGAUCUGUCUGGUAACAGGAUAAAUAACUCUUCAGUAUAACCCAGCAGCUUGGCUUGGACUUUGAGGCACAGUCAUUUGUUAUAUUUUAUUUUUUUUAUUUGUGCAAUCACAGAAGUAAUUUGACUUGUUACAAAUAAUAUUUUGAUAAACUUCAGUAGAAAUUAGCAAACCAGCAUCAAAUGAGAUUUAUAGAAAGUUGCUUGGGAAAAUGUGUUGUAAGUAGUCUGCAAUUCAAGGCAUUUCCUUUGCAGGAUGCUUAUCAAGUCUGCAUGUGCUACUUCCAAAUUGAACUAGAACGUAGAUGAGAGCUAUUUUUGAUAGAAUGGGGGGGGGGAGAGAAAAUAAAGCCCAGUUGGAAAGUAGUAACAGGUUUUUUUCUCAUUGCCUUAGGAUGUAAAUCCUGUAAGUGUGCAGAGAGAAAACAGACUUUGAAACAGCCGAAGAAAACAGAUUUAUCUGUGAUGUUUGAGAUGAUGCUGGUAGUGUAAACGUGAUUGAAAUAGUCAUUGUAGGAGUGGUGAGUAAAUAUACCAGAAGCUUUUGGAUAAAUUGACUUCUCUUUGCUGCUCAAUAUGCCAAGUAAAGGCAAGAUGUCCUGCUUGUUUCUGGGAUGUUCCUUCCUCAGGGAGGCUGUAUCAGGAGGAGCAGCUGCUGGUUUUAAGGAUUGUCCUGCUCCCAGAUGCCAAUGUAGAGCUCUUCUUUUAUGUCCUGGAUGUGGUUGCUGGCCUCUUCUGAGCUCUUGGAAUUAAGAUGUUGCAAGACCGGCGGGGAAAUGAUCCAGGAAAUAUUUUUGUGAGGAUUUCUUGUAGAUUAAUCAGUUUUUUAGCCUCUUGGUGUUUCACAAAUCAGCAGUGAAACCUGGAAUGUGGAAGCUGUCUACACUUUUCAGGAUGAAGUGCUGCCUUAUUUGACCAUCAGGCUGAUGGACAAACUUACAGGACAAGCUUAAUCUUUUUUUCCAGACUGAAAAAUUACCAGGCUGAAGAGGGAUCUCACCUGUCUUUCUCCUCUUAUUAAUUUUUGGCUUUUCAUCUGACUUCAGUCAAGUUUGAUAAAGGCAGAGACAUUAAGCAUACCAGGGCUCAAGACUCAUGGAGAUGAGGAGCUUGGGAGAGCAAAUCACCCUCCCAUGGUCUGGCAGAGUGGUCCUGAUCCCAGCCCUGUGCACAGGAUAUGUGGAAGGAGCAACCUGGGAAAGUGAGAGAGGAGCUCUGAGGAUCCUGCGACCGAGUGGUGUCACUUGCAUAAAAUCCUGUGUCUGAGUAUGCAUUAAGGUUGUAUAGGAAGAGGCAUCAUAUUUUUUUCCUUCAAGCUCCAGUUUAUUUAUGUAAUACCUUUGAUCAAGGUAUUUCAGAGCAGUAGUGGGAUUGUAAUUUAUUGAUGUAAUGGAGACUGACAUUUUGUACAAGGAAAAUGGCAAACAGGUGCUGUUGUCAGGCAAAGUGAUGAAUGUAUAAUGUUGAAAAAAUUGUGACCAAAGAUCCUGGUCGGAAUAAUGCACAAAAACAUUUUCACCCAGGUCCCAGUCUUUGUGACUGCAGAUUCACUUGGGAUUUGAAAGGGAGAUUCCUCUAGCAAGUAGCUUGCAGGUUGUUCAUAAAAAUUGCUCAUGGGAGGAAGGUCCACAUAUAUUGUUGCUAAGCCACUGUUGAGAAACUGAUUUUGCAAUGAAAAUGUUUAUUUGUUUAGAAAGAAAAAUCUGUGCUAGAAUGCUACGCAUGCUCUACUUAUGUGUUUUCAUUCUAAACUCUAUUUUUAUUUUGCUCUCUGCAGCCAGUCUGUAACUAAAACAUUCCUAGCAUCCUUUGGCUGGAAAUUCAGUCAAGGACUUUUUUGUCCUGCUUUCAAGAAGAUGAUUCCAGUCUUCCUUGAAGCUACUCCAAAGGAAAUUUCCUUCUCUAGUGGAUAAGGUGACAACAAGGGAAGUCACUGCUUAUGGUCCAAAGGCUUAGUGACAUCCUCUUGUUGUUGUCAUGUCCUGCCAUGCUUAAUCUAACUACAAAUGGAAAUAUUUUAGGAUAGCUACAAUGGCACACAAUAAGAGUUGGAGCCACUCAGUGAUGUUAAUUCUGCUUGAGUUCACACAGCUCACGAGCUGGCUGUUAGCAGAGUAAUGCAGAUAAAUGUUUUGUGGGCACAGAGGAGAGGGGCUGUGUCCGUGUCCGUGGGCGACAGACCUCCCUCCCCACCUCCCCAUCAAUCGAAGGGUAUUUGCCAUCACAGAUUGGAUUUUCUUGCUCAACCAGGGAUUGGCUCUGACCAGUGUGUUUGUUUUGUUGUUCAUCCCUGGUGACUGUCAGUAGCACUUGGCUGAAUAAACAGAGACUAUUGAUCAAAUUUGAAGUCAUUAGCUUGGCAGUUUAAAUAGAUGCUGGCCUAUAUGAUUAGAACAAGGGAGUAACACAUAGGCUGAUACCAGCUUUAUUUGGAAUAAAAGCCUUCUUUUCAUAGAGUCCUGUUUGGUGCCAUUCAGAUCCCAGUUUUGUGCCUCCCUUAGGUCACACAAGAAUGAGAUGUUUUGCUUAAAAUACCUAAAGUGAAGAGGGUGGCUUUGCUUGUGUAAGAGAGCAAUAACAUGGAUAUAACAGGGAUCUGCUGGACUUUGGUACUAAUUGGAGAUCAGCUUUGGAAGAAGGGGGUGCUACCAUGAGGUUAUUGGUUAACCACAUCCAGCAAGGGCAUGCCCUGGGAGGAAUCCUGCUCCAGGCCCCCAGCUCUGAAGCAGCAGCAGUGUUUGAUUGUCCAUCUCGCUGCUGCUCAGCUGAGACACACGGCUGUGAGAUCUGGGUGUUUACACCCAAACACCACGGGUGAUUAAUUACUUCUGAAGGAAGUAGUUUGCUUUUAGUGGCUGCUGUCAUGGCAUGUGCCUGACAACCUUCUCCAUCAUUUGAACAUUUUGGACGGAGCAUUUUGCUGAGGGAGUUCUGGAGUGCUCCAAGAUCCCAUUCCAGAGGAUGGGCAGUGCUGUGUGAAUGCCCCAGCAUGGAACAGCACUAAUCACCUUCCUGCCAGCCCACUGCUCCUGAGUCACAGAGCUGCGUGUCCCUCGAGAGCGUGCACAUUCAGCACCGGGAUGCACACGGAUUGACCCACAUUUCCUCAGGCACAGCAGCAGUCACGUGCAGCUCAUUGCCAGGAAAUCAGAUGAGAACUGAUGUAACUCAGUUCAUCCAGCGUUUGCAUGGCCUGGGCCAAAGUGCUUUUAGGGAUUUACCACUUGUGUGACUAAUAGGUGAUUAGGUGGAUUUUAGGGAGUGUGUCUUUGUGCUUCUGGUAGACAAGACUUAUCCUGUAGAAUUGGCAGCACCAAAAAAAGUCUCUUACACAUCAUUCUCUCAUUGUAGUUUUUAAAUGGGACUGGUUAUUAAAUCAGAUUUUCUUCCUCUAUGUAAAAGCUUUCAUACUAAUUCCUUGGCAAGUUUGUUAUUUAGGGAUGUUUUCCCUGCUACAGCUAGACAGAUGUCCUGUAGAAGAAAACAAUGAUGCAGUCCUGGGGUUAAUAAAAGAACAAAAGUAGGUGAAUGAAUGAUAAAAAUCUGGCUUCACAAAGCUAUUAAUACCUCUGUAAUUGCGGUCUUUUUUUGGAACAAGCCUUGUUUCUGUCCCGUUCUCCUUCGCCUCUGCCACAGCUUCCUUAUUCCUGCAGUCCCCCUCCUUCCCCAGUGCCACCACUGUCACCUCCCCACAUCCCUCCCUGGGUUCAGCAGGGCUGGCACAAGGCCCAGGCUAAUAAGCCCAGACGAGCUGAUUCCCUGGCAGGUGUCCAGGUGGCUGCUCACCUUUUAGCAUCGCUGCCCUCCACAAACACGGGUGUUUGGGACUUCCUUGGGUUUCUUAUUUGUAAAUGAGGAGAGUUGGAGCUGAGUUCUCUGAACAAAUGAAAAAAUAGACAUAAAGACAAUGGAGAGCGAUUUGUAGCCUCUUGGGUGGAUGUUGGAAGGGAUUAUAAAGGGCUGAAUAAUCACAAAACAAGCUACUGGAGAUUGGAAAAAAUUCCAAGAGUUAAAAACAAUAUUGUAAAACAGCUAAUAUACCUGAUUCAAAAUGAGAAAGGAUGCCAGGAAUUUAAUUUGGGCAAACACAAUUUUUCUUCUUUCUUCCUGUUUUUAAACUUUGCACCUUUGUUUUAGCUUUUGUGUAGGAAAUUAAAGUAAUUGUUCCAUUUUGUAGCUCAGCACUUAAUCAGCCUGAAUUAUUUUUUAAAAUUUUACCUGGAUGGUCAAGGUGUCAUUUUUCCCAUAUUUUUGCACAAGCUUCUUGAAUCGUCUGGAAUCCGAUGGAUAUAAUUUGAAUAUGAAAUGGUAAUGAAGACAAAAAUAGAUGUGUGCAAGAGCUGGUAACAAGGAAACCAUCAAGAAGAGAAGUCAGUGGAAUGUUUAAUUCCAUCUAGUGUGGGCAGUUUUUCCUCUACGACAUUAAAAGCGUUUAUACCUCAGUACUGAGAUCCAAGUUAGGAUCAAGACUUCAUUUAUUAUGGGCCAUUAGGCUCUGCCACUUCUUUCCAGCACCAACUCCAUCUUGAUGAUCCAUAUGUUUGUUAUCCUCAGGUUGAUAAUGACAGCCCAGGGAGCUCUGGGAAGAAAGAAGUACUUGGGAAUGAAUUCCAGCUGGUUCAGUUUUUGGCUGGCCACUCUCUUAAGAAGCCUAGAACAGAAUGAACUCAUGGCUCUGGGCUUUUGUGCUCCCUUAACUCUUCCCUGAACACGGACUUUCACUGCCCUGAUUUUUAAGUCGGUGCUCGCUCUGGGUCAGUUCAGGAAGAGCUGCUCCAUCUCAUGCAUUUGUGACCGUCCUGACUGCAAAGCAAACAGCAGGUCUGAGAAUAAGGAAGGCAAAAGCUGUAAGAGCAUGAAAAAGUUUCUUUGGCAGCGAGGCUCAUGGCUUUGAAAAGCUUUACAUGACAAGACUUGAGGCUUUUUAUGUUUCUAUCCAAACAUGCCAAAAAGCACUCAGCAUACCUCAGUUAAAAUCCAAGCAUGGAAAAGAGCGAGUUGGUGUGGAAAUCAGGGAAAGUUUCUGAGGUAUUUGUUAACCUGAGGUAUGUGGUGGUAAAGCAGUGAAACGGUGAUGCCUUACUUGAAAGAAAAAAUGCUUUUCAUUUACUUGCAAAAAAAUUUGGGGUAUUGACUGUGCCUCUUGAAAAGUCAUCCAGUACCUGCUGGAAUUUGUCCUGGUAGCAGUUACUGAAGUUAGUAAUGCCAGAGGAGGUGCAUGGUAAGUGUUAUUCUUUGUGAUAGAUUUUGAGCAAUGACUUGAUACAAGAUUUCCAGUUAUUAAAGAAAUGUAGAAGAGUCUGGGUUAUACUGAAAUAAGUUAGUCCCUGUUCUGAGGUUUCAUCUUUCUUUGUAGAUGGUAGUGUGUAGGCCAACUUUUCCUGUGGAAUUUCUGUACUGAAAAUUCUUCAUUCAGUGUCUCAGUAUGAAUGAAGAAAUGUGGAUUCUUGAACGUUGUGACCACAGUGGUCAUCAGUGUUUUUAUACUUUUAUUUAUGAGCUUCUAAAAAUUACCCUGGCAAAAUUUGUUGGUUUGUAUUUUCAAUGUUUUUAGAAUGGGGAUUUUUUUCCCUCUUUCAUUUUGCUGGAAGUUAAUCUCAACAUCAGCAUCUUCCUGGGUCGUUGAAGUGAUUCCUUUGCCAGCUUCCUGCUCUCGGUUCACAAGGAAGCUUCAAGUUUAACACUGAGUUGAGCAGUCCAGAGCCAAAGCUGUAUAUUGAGCACUAAGGCAAUGUUCCAUGUGGAUUGUUUAACUACAGCUCCUUUACUGAUACAUUUAAGCCUCGUGGGAUGAGCUAAUAGUUUACAUAGUUUACAACUUACACAUAAGGCCAUUCAUUUUUCUGAAUAACAGUGUUCUUGCUUUUGAGCAAUCUACUUAGCAUUUGAUGAAAACCAGACAUUAAUUUUGUACUGUUUAUUAAAAUACCCCAAUUGGAAACUUUUGUUCCUGUAAAGUUGAUUUUAUACCUUAUUUAAUUGCAGUAAGAUAUCAAAGAAGUCAAAUACUGGUUUUGUCUGGAAAAACAAAUCUCAGUUUUAAAUUGAGAUUGAGAAUGUGUUAAAUUACAUUUUUUUCCUCUUUUACAAUAGUACUUAACAUUCAAAUUACUUUGUUGAAAUACUGACACUACCUGUAUGUGAAGGAAUGUAAAUACCAGCCACUCUUUGGAGAUACAAAACAUAUGUUUUAUGUUUUAAACUGAGAAAUCUGCUUUGUUUUAUCUUGGAAGUUGUAGACCUUUUGCUGUUUGACAAAAAUUCAGUGUUUCUAUUGAACUGUUGCUUGGCUGUAUCUACUCAAAUUUUGCCAAGAUUUUUCUGUACCAAGGUUUCUUCUUUCACAGGUUUCACGUGUUCUGCAGCAGCAGGUCAGACUCCCUUCUGCUUUCUGCAUAACAAGCAGCUCUUCUGAGGCAAGGCAAUAUUUAUAUAUUGAGCUGGAGAUAGUACUGGCUUAGAAACUACAAAACUGUGUGUUGUGUUCCUGGUAUUUCAAAAGCAUUUUGCUCCAUGGACAGGACCCCAAGGCUGGGUCUGGUUUAACUGGUGUGAGUCUCCUAAUUGUAGUGCUCAGUUAAGCACCCACAAAUGUGUUGCUUCUGGUUUUAGUCUCUUGUUCUGCACUUUCUCCUCCUUUAUAAAGCAGCAGAGAGCAGUUGUGCAGGUUUUCCUUACGGAACUGGGAAAUGAAUGGCUUGUAAAAGCUAGAAGUCCAUUAAUUGGGUGGUGUUUUGUGGGAGAAAAAAAGCUGCUGUUAAUAUAGAAGCAUACUGGUAACUUGAAUCUCACAAACUGCUUAUAAAAUGUGCAGUUGUGGUAGUGGUCUGGGUAGCCCCAGAGAGAAUAUCUGGGAAGAGGAAGAAUCUAAAUUUCUGUGUUUUAUAAUGAACAUAAUAUUUAUUGGGAAAGCCUUUUAUGUACUGAAUUAGUAAGAAAUGAUCAGCUGCACAGGAGAGUCCUUCUAGGCUUCUUUUUGGUAAUGAAAAGAAGGUGUUCAAGGCUUUAUACCUUGAACUUAGGAAAGUGAAGCUCAGAGACACCUUAAAUGAAACACACCUCCCUGAAAUGCUGACUGAGCAUAGGCACUGUUCUCCACUAAAGGAGUGUCAGCCAUUUAAUACCUAAUUUAUAUCUCAGCAAUAUCUAAAACAUUCAGAGUUUUUUUCUAUAUUUGAUUUUUAAUUUAUUGUUGUUCACCUCACAUUUUCCAGAGAAACAAAUUCAUAUAUCUGAACAUUUGGACAGGAUUUCUAGAAAGGACCUUUUAUUACUGGGACUCCAGGAUUAGGGCUGGGUUUGAGCUCGAUCCCCAGCUCUGCCUGGGACCUGUUGUGAACAGUGCUGGGAUGAGAACAGGGUCCUGUUCGAUGCUGACACUUCUAGGGAUUUGAAAAAGAUGCUUUUGAAAGCUCAGUGAUAUUAAAAGUACAAAAUAUUUUUGGCGAUCUUAGUAAAAUUCACUUUGGAAUCUGAGUUAUGAGUGCAUGUGGGUGGAGGAACAUGGUUUUCAUGCUUUAGGAAUUUUUUUCCAGAUGCUUUUGUGGUGCUUGGGUAACUAUAAAAGCAAAGUAUUGAGAUUUCAGCAUGGAUUUAUUCCUUAGUUUUAAUACAAUUUAAAAGAAUUGAGACACAUAGUUUCCUGGUGUGUUUUUAGCUUUAUUUUGGUGAUGAUGUCGCACAGCUCAUGUUGUGUCUGAUCCAAAGUGUGAGCACAAGAAUGUGCAAGGUGUGCAAUUAAGUCUGUCUGGAUAGACACCACUUGCUUGGAAAUACAAAUUAUUCAAUGCAAAUGCACAUGCUUAGAGAUACAAAAGAUUGAAUAAGGGAAGAAUUCCAGAGCUGUGUUGAUCCCAGUAACUGUCACUUACACAGUGAAGUAUGGAGUAAAUGAAAAGCCCAUUUUGUAUUUCCAGCAGGAAUUUUUUCAUUGGAAUUGUUUUGUUUAGCUCUCAGCUAAGAGGUUGUAUUUACCCUGAAAACAGCAUAUUAUUCUGUGUGGUCUUAACAGCAAUUUUGAGGUUUUUGCAGAUAUUCUUGUAUCUUACUAGUGUAUACAGAGGCUGGUACUGUACCUGAAGCCUGAGUGUAUCCUUUGUUUUCAGGGAAUCGGGAGACUGUUUGUGGAUACUUUAACAAAGCAAAAUCAUGACUGAAUUUGGGAAAUCUCUCCUUACAAAAUUAUGGUCCCGCUUGGAUGUGGUCCUGGGAGUUGUAUUGGUGGGGGUGGAGGACUGAGUUUUAGAAACCACACAGUGGGUAUAAAUUACAUUAUGUUCUGUUAACAUAUUUCCUGGUAAAGCUGUGUAAUGGAUGGGGUGUUCUUGGGAAUGGCUGUAAAAUGGUCAUAGUAAUAACUGACUUGGCUCUUAAAUUCCAGUUCUCACGGAAACUGGUUGUGCUUUGGACAUGUUUAGAGACAGUCAGCAAAGAGAAAGUGGAAGGGAUGUGAGGGAAGACAGAGCUUCAAGGCAUUUUUUGACAGAGGAGGUGUCACCAGUUAGGGUCUCAGUCUUGCCCCAGCAUCUCUGGCUGUAUUUCCUACAUCUGAGCAACCACUACAGGGCCAAGAAGCUGAAGGUGGUGAAACAGCAGUCUACAAAGGUUUGCCCUAAAAAUAAACUUUAAAAGAAAAAUCACCUGUGGAAGUACAAUUUGAGUGGCGCAUGGGACAGAUAAACCCCAUGGGCAGCUUCUGCUGUCAGAGCUGAGGGUGUGUCUGUAAGACUCAAGCACUUGGGGAUACUCAGGGUGAAUGUCUGUCUAGGAAAUGGGGAGAGUAUGACAAGGCUCUUGGCCUGGAUUAGAGGGAGGCAUUGCAAAGUCAUAAGAAAACUGAGGCAAUAGCUGGGAUUUAAUGAAAGAUUUAAUCUGAGAGGUAACCUUUAUCUCAGGUAUUUGUUAGGGGUGAGCAGAGGGGGAAGAAGAGAGGGAAAAUUUGGUAUGAAGAAUAAUUGAUAAGCUUAUUCCAAUCUCUGAUUUGUAUGCCUUUCUCAGAUUCUGUACAUCAGCAUUAAUUCACCUUGCUAUUGGUCUCCCUUUUUUAUCCCUGCAAAGUUCUUCAGCUGAUUCCAUGACUAUUCAGUGUUUCUCCAAGUUUUACAUCUCAGUCAGUUAAUUUUUAAACUUGCUUUACUGGUCUUGUGCUGCACACAGUCUCAGUUAACAGGAAAUUUAAUGAGUCUUGUUCUUCCAAUAGCCCUGUUCUGGAUUUUUCAAUGAUUUAUAUUAUUGAGGGCUAAGUCAGCCCUUUUGCUGGUUGUAUGUGAAGAAUUAUUGUUGGAGAAUUUUUCAGUUUGAGUAAUUGUUAGGAAUGGAGAUGAAGCUCUUGUGUUUUGUCAACUUGGUUUUGUUUGCAGUAGGAGAACUGCCUCUCAUUCGUGACUGGUUUCUGCUCAGAAUGGUGGGAUUUCUGCUGUGGAAACCAGGCUGUGAGCUGGCACACACAGGGGGCUGUCCUCCAACACAGGCUACCAAGUUCACAAGUCAAAACCUACGCAGACUUUGAAGCAUUAGCAGAGAGAUUUCCAUUACUUGGAUACCUCAAAUUUGACUUGCUUUGCAGCCUUUUUCAUUUUCCAGUUGUGUGCAGUAACUUUAGUUUAAUUUUAUGUCAAGAUCUUUAUUACUUUCUGUUCCAAAGCCUCAUUGUUCUUCUUUGCUUCUAUCUUAGAACAAACCAACCAGCCUGUGGUGCUUGUAAUGAUUGUGCUUCAUAUCUCUGUGAUUAAAGAUGGUCUAUACAGAAGGAAAUAUUAAGUGAAGUCCUUUCUACGCCAUCAGCCUGCUGGCCUGUGUUUAUCUUUUGUCACAAAGUAAAACGAAUGUAUCCUGGAAUCUGGCUGCCUGUUUGUACAAGCAUAAAUAAUUAACCUGGAAUAUCCAAGGGAAGGCCAGAGAUGGCUGAAAGGGAUGUUUGCCAGCAGAGUUCACUGUGACUUCCCCCACCCACCUUUUCUAAGGAAGAUGUGGACAUACUGCUGGUUUGUCUUGUCUUGUCUCCAAAAUUAACUUGGAUACUAAAUUGAAGGCCGUGGUUAGCUCAGAUCAUAUCCACAUGUAAAGGUCCUUAAUUUGAACAUGGAGGCUCCUACCUUUAACUUGCAAAGUGUGAUUGAAUGCAGUCCCAGGUGCACAUUUGCCUGCUGUUUUGCAUUGGUAGAGGCUGGGUCUAUGGAAUAUUUUCAUCACUUGCGUUAUUUACUUUACUUUUUCCCCCCAGGAAACUGUGUCGUUUGAACACUGUACAGCUGGAAACACUUGUAACAUCUUAGCAGUGUGCAAUGGGAUGGGGUGUGUUGGGAGUUGGACUCUGUGAUCCUUAUGGGUCCCUUCCAGAGACAUUCUGUGGUGUAUGGAAUAACUCUGGUGCUGAUGCAGUCAGGCUCUGUUUACAUGGGAAUGUUUGAAAUGGUUCCUCUCCCAGACUGUUUUUCUGUGCCUCUCUGCAAGUGCUGCCCUUGCUGCAGGAUGGUGUCUCGGGGUGAAUUAGCAGCUUGCUGAUGCAAUUCUCAGCUGGGUUGUUCAGACACUGGUGCCACUCCGUGCUCUCCUCACUGUACCAGUCCUGCUCCUGCAGCACCUCCUGAACCACAGCAGAUGAUUCAUUUCUGUUUGGAGGCAGGGUGGACAACCAGGGCCUGGCAGAGGAAUCUCUCAGCUCACUCAGGUUGCACCCCCAGGGUGAAUACUGACUUUGUCUAAGGCUCGUCCUCUCUUCACCUCCUGCCAAAUAUGCUUUCACACUAGCACUUCACCCAGCUGGCUAAUUUGGCCUUUGAAAUUAUCUCAAUAAUGUCGGGUACUUAAAAAAACAUUCCCAUCCCUUUAUAAAUAUUAUAAUCUAGAUGUAAAGACAUUGUUUCAGUGUUGUUUGGGAUCUGUUGUAUUAAAAAAUGAAGUUCUUCAGACCUGUGCAACAAUCAGGAGUGGAGCAUAAACAAAUCCUGUGUCAGGCUGAAACAAGUUGGUUGACUUUGAGGAGGCAGAACGUAAAUACCCAAGUCAGGAGAAUUAGUACUUUUCGUAAUGUUGCAACAAAUACAGGGAGAUCACUCCUGCUGACAAGCCCAGAACCUUUCUUGUUUAAAAGAAAGAAAAACUAAAGGAAAAAACACUUUGGAAAAUGGGCAAAGAGGGGAUUUGGGCAAGGCCUGGGCAAAGAGGGGAUUUGGGCAAGGCCUGGGCAAAGAGCUUAGAGUCUGUCUCAUCUCCUAAACCCCCUCUGAACCAGGGAUAAAAUUAAUAACUUUUUAAGCCUUUGUAGUUAAACCUACCCAAGUCCAUGAAUUUGGGGCUUGAAGUAGCAGCCAUCAGGUCCUCUCCUGUUGAAGAGAUGUGUUUAAGAAGGAAAUGUGGCACAGUCCCAGCUUUGCACAGCAGGGAGGGGCUGGCUGCUCUGCUGCUGGCAUGAUUUUGCAUCCAAGUCUCCCGUUGCUGACCUUUGCCACCUGUUUUUUUACUGGAAUUUAGAAAUCUGUGGCUUUUAAGUGAUACAGCUCUUGCAAAUAUUUUUUGCUCUAGUGGGUUUAACAUGCAAAUAGUGGAACAGAGCCAAUGGUCCAUCUCGGGCAGCCUGAUUCUGGAGAUUGCUCCAUAAAGGUUUAUUUCAGCUAUUAGCUUUUGUGCCAAUAUUUUUCUUACAAGAAAGAGUAAUAAUUUUUGCAACCGAAAAUUGAGGGUUUCACAGACUAUGAGUGGAAAAUUGGCAGCUGUGCUCAUCUACUGUAGACUGAAAGGCUGGGGCAGAGGGAACAGAGUUAAAUGAAAAAUAUAAUUCUUCAAUAAUAGCUUUAGAAAUUUAUGCAGCUAUUUUGAAAGCACACCUGAAAUAUAAAAUAAAGGUAAUAAUUACAUGGACAGACCAUAUGCAGAAAGUUACAGAUGUCAUCCUUCUCCAGCUCAAUAAAUUAUUCUUAAAACUGGGGAUGGCAAAGUAAAGUUAUUUGAUUUUUAAAAUCUCACAAGAACUUCAGGAUUGCUUUUGGCUGGUACUAGCAUGCUCAAGUUCUGAUUUGUACUUAGUCUCUCUUUCUUGAGAAGUUUUUCCUCAGAAACACGACAGGAAAAGGAAAUUAAAAGUUACUUUGUCGUGCUUCCACAGAGCAGCGGAUGGUAAUUCUCUAAUCCUUUGUUUCAAAUUGAAUUGCCAUAGUCCUGCACACUUCUCUUUUUGGUCAGUUGUUUUAAAAAAAUAUACAAGAGAAUCUUUCUCUGUUUAUACAGUUUGCCAGUGUAAGAAAUAAGUAAUUUGUAAUCCAUUCUAAAAAUACUUUCCUAGUGUGCCUGCUUUAAUUAUUACUAAGAGAGAGGAUUUGCGUUGUUUGUUUUUUUCAUGAGCUUCUGGGUUAAAUAGUGGAUUUCUUUGGUCUGUUUGCUUGACACGUGAGACAGUUUUUUCUCUGCUGCCUGUGUUACAUAGGGAAUGUUUCUCUGGAACUGAGAGGUGGAAUUCUAGUAGAAGUAUAUAAAAAUAAAUAAAUAAAGUAUUUGUUCCUUUGCACCUUCCCUUUCCCCAGUAUAGAAUUACAGUGAGACUGAGGGUGAGUCAGGAAGAAAAGGAGGUGGAGAUGAGAAGGGGAAAUGGUCCAUACCUGGGGAAUUGGCCAUUGAUUAUCUUCUGAGCCUUCAUUCUCAUGCUGAAAGAUUUUUUUUUCCCACUGGGGAAAGAGACUCCCUCAGCAGUAAUUAGGUCUUUUAUAGUUACCUUCCUUUCUUGGAUCUUAGUUUGAGAUAACUUAGAGCUCUAAUAUUUUCCUCUUUGGCUCUGGAGUUGUUUUUCCUGGCCUGUUAGAAGAGUUUAAUGGAUACUAAACAACUUGGAUUGCUGAGAUCCUACUGAGCAGUCCUUAUGGAAAAGCAAAAUGAGACUUGUAGCUGGUAAUAGGCCUGGUAGAAAUGGAGAUUGAUGGGAGUUUCCUGAUCUAAUUUUUUCUUAAACUGCUGUGCUGGUGAGUGGAAUUGGAGAGAGGGAAACGAUGUCUCAUUUGUGGCUCUUUCAAAGGAAAACAUCUUAAUGCAGAUUUUUUUUCAGUGUAUUUAUUUUUCUUCUGAAUGAGUCCCUGUCAUACUUAUCCCCAAACCUUUGUGUACUUACAGAUUGCUUCUUCUGUUGCAGAAUUCCUGCCAUGCUUUGUCUCCCCAUGUAUUCACACUUUGUGUACAAGGAGCAGGAGGUUUCACUUGCAUUUGAUGGGACUUAGUGAAAAGGUCUCUUCCAGGAAUCCCAGAAUCCAGAAUUCUGUUCUUUGUUCAGAAAAUGUUUAGCCCCUGAUCUAAAAUGGAUGGGUUCUGAAACAUCAACAAAAAUCUGAUUUAGCAUUUGUAAACAUGAAGUAAAGAAAAUUAGGAGGUUUUAAUGCAAAGGGAUGUUAAUUAAAUCUUCUGUGUGUUAUAACAAUAGAAUUAAAGUAGCAAAUAUAAAGCCAAAUUUAUAUGUAAAUAUUCCAAUCCCAGAUAAAGAAAACAAUGGUUACAGUUAAUAUUUAGGUGGUGUUUUUUAUGAAUUAUUAUCAGGUAUUAUUUUAGCUGAUAUGAUUACCAGAAAGCUUUUUUUUUUUUUUAACGGUUUUAAAGAUUUCUUUAUCUCCUUUUUUUG